GUAGGGAAUAUUGGGCAAUGGAUGAAAGUCUGACCCAGCCAUGCCGCGUGCCGGAUGAAGGCGCUCAGCGUUGUAAACGGCUUUUAUUCGGGAAGAAGAGCAGGGAUGCGUCCCUGUGUGACGGUACCGAAUGAAUAAGCACCGGCUAACUCCGUGCCAGCAGCCGCGGUAAUACGGAGGGUGCGAGCGUUGUCCGGAUUUAUUGGGUUUAAAGGGUGCGUAGGUGGCCAAAUAAGUCAGUGGUGAAAUACGGUUGCUCAACAAUCGAGGUGCCAUUGAUACUGCUUGGCUUGAAAUAAUUGGAGGCUGCCGGAAUGGAUGGUGUAGCGGUGAAAUGCAUAGAUAUCAUCCAGAACACCGAUUGCGAAGGCAGGUGGCUACGAUUUAUUUGACACUGAGGCACGAAAGCAUGGGGAGCAAACAGGAUUAGAAACCCCUGUAGUCC
rnacentral:rRNA from 1 species